rnacentral:tRNA from 1 species
AUUGCUAUGGUGGAAUCGGUAGACACACAGGCUUGAGGUGUCUGAGGUUAUUGAGGACCUUCCCGGUUCAAGUCCGGGUAGCAAUA